rnacentral:rRNA from 1 species
UGGGUGACGAGAGGCGGACGGGUGAGUAAUGUCUGGGAAACUGCCCGAUGGAGGGGGAUAACUACUGGAAACGGUAGCUAAUACCGCAUAACGUCGCAAGACCAAAGUGGGGGACCUUCGGGCCUCACACCAUCGGAUGUGCCCAGAUGGGAUUAGCUAGUAGGUGGGGUAACGGCUCACCUAGGCGACGAUCCCUAGCUGGUCUGAGAGGAUGACCAGCCACACUGGAACUGAGACACGGUCCAGACUCCUACGGGAGGCAGCAGUGGGGAAUAUUGCACAAUGGGCGCAAGCCUGAUGCAGCCAUGCCGCGUGUAUGAAGAAGGCCCUCGGGUUGUAAAGUACUUUCAGCGAGGAGGAAGGUGUUGAGGUUAAUAACCUCAGCAAUUGACGUUACUCGCAGAAGAAGCACCGGCUAACUCCGUGCCAGCAGCCGCGGUAAUACGGAGGGUGCAAGCGUUAAUCGGAAUUACUGGGCGUAAAGCGCACGCAGGCGGUCUGUCAAGUCGGAUGUGAAAUCCCCGGGCUCAACCUGGGAACUGCAUCCGAAACUGGCAGGCUAGAGUCUUGUAGAGGGGGGUAGAAUUCCAGGUGUAGCGGUGAAAUGCGUAGAGAUCUGGAGGAAUACCGGUGGCGAAGGCGGCCCCCUGGACAAAGACUGACGCUCAUGUGCGAAAGCGUGGGGAGCAAACAGGAUUAGAUACCCUGUAGUCCACGCCGUAAACGAUGUCGACUUGGAGGUUGUGCCCUUG